rnacentral:rRNA from 1 species
AGAGUUUGAUCAUGGCUCAGGAUGAACGCUAGCGGCAGGCCUAAUACAUGCAAGUCGAGGGGUAUAGAUGGGUUUACUCGUCUAGAGACCGGCGCACGGGUGCGUAACACGUAUGCAACCUACCCUUUACUGGGGCAUAGCUCAGAGAAAUCUGAAUUAAUUCCCCAUAAUACAAUUGAAUGGCAUCAUUUGAUUAUUAAAGCUGAGGCGGUAAAGGAUGGGCAUGCGUUGCAUUAGCUAGUUGGUGAGGUAAUGGCUCACCAAGGCUACGAUGCAUAGGGGUUCUGAGAGGAUGAUCCCCCACACUGGUACUGAGACACGGACCAGACUCCUACGGGAGGCAGCAGUAGGGAAUAUUGGUCAAUGGACGCAAGUCUGAACCAGCCAUGCCGCGUGCAGGAAGACGGCCCUCUGGGUUGUAAACUGCUUUUAUAUGGGAAGAAACCUCAUUAUGCGUAAUGAACUGACGGUACCAUAUGAAUAAGGAUCGGCUAACUUCGUGCCAGCAGCCGCGGUAAGACGAAGGAUCCAAGCGUUGUCCGGAUUUACUGGGUUUAAAGGGUGCGUAGGCGGAAUUUUAAGUCAGUGGUGAAAGCCCUUCGCUCAACGAAGGAACUGCCAUUGAAACUGAAAUUCUUGAAUACGGUUGAGGUAGAUGGAAUAUAACAUGUAGCGGUGAAAUGCU